AGCUGCAAUAGCAGCCGUAUGGCUGGUAUCAAUCACAUAAAAACCAGAGAAACAGUAUCAGAUUUAUAUACAUCUCCACUUGAAAUCUGUUAAAAGCAUUUAAAUUUGAUCAAUGAGUAUUGGCAAGCUAACUGCUAAGUUUCUUCCAUGGUGAUUUCAAUCUCUGUUCUAAUACAUGCAGAAUAGACAAAUAUAAAGUUCUUACUUUUUGAAACUAUAAUAUUUCCUUUCAUGCAACACAGCUCAAAAAUAGAACAAAAUUCUAGUCAACAUAAAAUUUAAAUAAAAUGAUUAAAUGGCAGCAUAGUUUUUGCCUUGAAUUUGGU
rnacentral:misc_RNA from 1 species